rnacentral:rRNA from 1 species
AGUUUGAUCCUGGCUCAGAUUGAACGCUGGCGGCAGGCUUAACACAUGCAAGUCGAACGAGGUGUUGGGGCUUGCUCUAACACCUAGUGGCGAACGGGUGAGUAAUACUUGGGAAUCUGCCUCGUAGCGGGGGAUAACGUUUCGAAAGGAACGCUAAUACCGCAUACGUCCUACGGGAGAAAGCAGGGGAUCUUCGGACCUUGCACUAUGAGAUGAGCCCAAGCGAGAUUAGCUAGUUGGUAAGGUAAAGGCUUACCAAGGCGACGAUCUCUAGCUGGUCUGAGAGGAUGAUCAGCCACACUGGAACUGAGACACGGUCCAGACUCCUACGGGAGGCAGCAGUGGGGAAUAUUGGACAAUGGGCGAAAGCCUGAUCCAGCCAUGCCGCGUGUGUGAAGAAGGCCUUAGGGUUGUAAAGCACUUUAAGCGAGGAGGAAUGGCUGAGGGUUAAUAACCUUCAGCAGUGACGUUACUCGCAGAAUAAGCACCGGCUAACUCUGUGCCAGCAGCCGCGGUAAUACAGAGGGUGCAAGCGUUAAUCGGAAUUACUGGGCGUAAAGCGCGCGUAGGCGGUUACGUAAGUUGGAGGUGAAAUCCCCGAGCUCAACUUGGGAAUUGCCUUCAAAACUGCGUGGCUAGAGUGUGGGAGAGGAAGGUAGAAUUCCAGGUGUAGCGGUGAAAUGCGUAGAUAUCUGGAGGAAUACCGAUGGCGAAGGCAGCCUUCUGGCCUAACACUGACGCUGAGGUGCGAAAGCAUGGGGAGCAAACAGGAUUAGAUACCCUGGUAGUCCAUGCCGUAAACGAUGUCUACUAGCCGUUGGGGGACUUGAUCCUUUAGUGGCGCAGCUAACGCAUUAAGUAGACCGCCUGGGGAGUACGGUCGCAAGACUAAAACUCAAAUGAAUUGACGGGGGCCCGCACAAGCGGUGGAGCAUGUGGUUUAAUUCGAUGCAACGCGAAGAACCUUACCUGGCCUUGACAUGUCUGGAAUCCUGUAGAGAUACGGGAGUGCCUUCGGGAAUCAGAACACAGGUGCUGCAUGGCUGUCGUCAGCUCGUG